UACGUAGGGGGCAAGCGUUGUCCGGAUUUAUUGGGCGUAAAGAGCGUGUAGGCGGCCUGACAAGUCUGCUGUGAAAACUCGAGGCUCAACCUCGAGAUGUCGGCGGAAACUGUCUGGCUAGAGUCCGGAAGAGGAGAGUGGAAUUCCUGGUGUAGCGGUGAAAUGCGCAGAUAUCAGGAGGAACACCGAUGGCGAAGGCAGGUCUCUGGGCUGACACUGACGCUCAUGCACGAAAGGCGUGGGGAGCAAACAGG
rnacentral:rRNA from 1 species